rnacentral:rRNA from 1 species
AAUGGGCGCAAGCCUGAUCUAGCCAUGCCGCGUGAGUGAUGAAGGCCCUAGGGUCGUAAAGCUCUUUCGCCGGGGAUGAUAAUGACAGUACCUGGUAAAGAAACCCCGGCUAACUCCGUGCCAGCAGCCGCGGUAAUACGGAGGGGGUUAGCGUUGUUCGGAAUUACUGGGCGUAAAGCGCGCGUAGGCGGAUUAGAAAGUUGGGGGUGAAAUCCCAGGGCUCAACCCUGGAACUGCCUCCAAAACUACUAGUCUAGAGUUCGAGAGAGGUGAGUGGAACUCCGAGUGUAGGGGUGAAAUUCGUAGAUAUUCGGAAGAACACCAGUGGCGAAGGCGGCUCACUGGCUCGAUACUGACGCUGAGGUGCGAAAGUGUGGGGAGCAAACAGGAUU